ACUCUUGAGACUGCAGUAGUGUAAAAUAGAGAGAUGUUAGAUAUAGAGAAGAUUAGCAUUGCCCCUGUGUGAGGAUGACAUACAAAUUCGUGAAGUGUUCCAUAUUUUU
ensembl:snRNA U6 U6 spliceosomal RNA